UACGGGGGGUGCGAGCGUUGUCCGGAAUCACUGGGCGUAAAGGGCGCGUAGGUGGUCUGAUAAGGGUGUGGUGAAAGUCCGGGGCUCAACCCCGGAUCUGCCGUGCCGACUGUCGGACUCGAGGACUGUAGAGGCAGGCGGAAUUCCGGGUGUAGCGGUGGAAUGCGUAGAGAUCCGGAGGAAGACCGGUGGCGGAGGCGGCCUGCUGGGCAGUUUCUGACACUGAGGCGCGACAGCGUGGGGAGCAAACAGG
rnacentral:rRNA from 1 species